AUACAAGUUUUCUUUCAAGAAUGAAAUUUAGUAUAUGCUAUAAUGAUGAUGAUUACCUACCCAUAAAUCAAAAUUUAUUAAAUUAUUGACCUUAAGCAAAACUUGGAAAACCCAUACACUAGUUGUGUUUAAAGCACAUUACCUACAAAUUUAGGAGGCAUUGACUAUUAAACAUUGGGGAAUUUACUUAAAAUGUUUUGCCCAACUUAUACUCCACCAUUAAUGCAAAACUUUAUAUAGAGGACAAACAUUUUUAAUUGGAGGUAACAACAUUGAUUCCCUACUAUAUUUAUAAUGGUUGCUUCAAAUUCAAGCCAAGGAUAGGGUUAAAUUUAGGAUUGUAAAUCAAGCUAUUAGUACCAUAAUUCGCAUUGAGAUUUUCAAUAUUAAUUAUAGUUAAAAAUAAAAGUUGGAUCAAGUUUACAAGCUACUCGAAUGAAGCAUUAGGUUAUUCAAAAUGACUUGCUAGAUCAACAAUGAUCGAACAAAAUUCGAUUUCCUUUUUAAGUUAAAAAGCAUGUAGCUUAAGAAAAAACCACAGCUUUUUCAUCCACAUGAAUAAAACUAAACGUAUUAUAUUUAUUUUAUUUAAUAAAUCCACCAUAAAUUUUUAUUCAAUAUUAUUUAAUUAACACAAUGGCAAGUUUUACUUUGAGUAAAUUAUGUUGGGAUUUUCUUUAAAUUUUAUUAUGAUUUAAAUUUAAAUUUGUCUAUGGCUCAGUUGGGCUUUGAUAAAAUUUUAGAUUCGUUUGAUAGGUUUGGGUUUGAUUCAGCCCGAAAAAUGGGCCUAAAUUUUUUUCCCAGAUAAAAAUAUUAAAAUCUGAGCCCAUAUUAAUUUUUUAAUAUUUUUUAUAAUUUUUUUAAAAAUAUAAUACAUCAAAAAUACUAAAAAUAUUAAAAUAAAUGUUUCCCAACAAAUUGACUAACAUGGUUGCAACUUAACAAGAAAAUGUCUCUAAAAUAGCAGCAAAAUUAAUAAGAAAAUAAGAGAUAUAAUAAUCAAAUAAAAAAAAUAGUAACAACAUAAUAGUGAAAUGAUAGCAAAACAGUGAGAAAGCCUUACCCGAGACCUGACCCAUUUUCUAAACGAACCUUUUUUUUUUUACCUAUAUUUUUGUCCAAAACCCUCCCAUUUCUCAGACAAACCUUCGAUCUGGACCGAGUGACCCGACCCAUUAACAGAUAUAUUUAAACCCUAUCAUAUGUAAACUUUGUUUGAAUUUAUUUUUGAUAAUUAGGCCAAUCAUAUUAUAAUUAUUUAAAUAUUGUAUUAUUUAUGAUUGUAUUAUAUAUUGUAUUUUGAAUUAUUAUUGGCAGAUGAGUAGAUAAGCUUAGAGCUGAUGAAAGACUUCAUUUAGUUAUAAUUUUACUUAUAUAAUUUUUCCAUUUGGCUUUUUAAUUUUUUAUUUAUUUAUUUUUCCAAGUCACAAUCGAACCUCACCUAAUAUUAGUUCCCAAAACUGAAUAAUAAUAAUAAAAAAAAAGGUUGGGGGAAGUUUCGUUGUCAGAACUAGGGAUGCUCAUGUCCUAAUGUACAACUUUCUUCUUUAAUUUGAUUUGGUUUGAUUUAUUGACUUUAUGAUUCAAUUUGAAUCGAAUAAAUUUUAAUUAAUAAAUAAUUUGAGUUAAAACGGAUUGAUCUGAAGUCAAUUUUCUUCCGAUAAGAUAAAUCGAGUUACUUAUUCAAUUUAGUAAAAUGUUGGACAAAAAUUAAUUAUUUUAUUCAAAUUUAAUUAUAAAAAACCGAGUUGUGAUCCGAUUCAUUGAUAAAUUUAGUCUAACUUUAACAAAAACAAAAACAAAAUUGAAAAGUAAAAUGGUGUUUCUGUGGGCAAAACUUGCAAAAAAAAAUCCAAAUACUGGUAGACAAAAUGCAAGAGGAUAGGUUGCAUUGCUUGGGUGUAAAAGAUUAGUUGAAGCUUAAGGAGCCCACAUGUUUAAAGUGUAUAAGCUACAUUUGGAUACCCAAAUCAGUCAAAAUUCUUUAAAUAGACCACAUGCUAAUUUAAUAUUGUAUAUAUGGUACAAAUGUUUAAGCUAGGUGAAAGAGAAAAACCCUUUUUAUCAAUACCUACCAAUUUUAAUCGUGCCGGUUGAGUCUUAGCUUAAUUGGCACAAGCAUUGUUGUCAAUGCAGGAGGACGUGGGUUUGAGUCUGCUGAAGCGUAUUCUCCUCCUAUUUAUGGGUUGAUGAGGGACUAUAGAUAAUUUUAGUUAUUGUGUAAAAAAGAAAAGAUAAAUAUAUAGAAGUCUACUGAGUGAUUGAUUUUUAUUUUUUUAUUUUAAAAAGCAACAAAGGGUAUAAUUACAUAAUAUGUGUGUAUAGAUGAUUGGAGGGUUAAAACAAUAGAAGAACAUGAAGGUGGUGGUAAAUUAUAAAGGGAAUUAGUGAAUUUUAUUCCUUAGAAAAAGAAGAGCCACCUAACAUUUCAGUCACUCACAUCUUUUCGUUUCUUUUAUCAUCCUCGUGCUCAAGUCAUGGACACCAUUAUUUAUUUAUUGUGUAUAUAAAACUAAUAUUGUAUCAAUCCAAUUAUUCAAUCUUAGACUUUUGAGAAAUUAGAUGAAUAUGGUUGUUACAUGCACAUUAACCCCAUUUUUUCCCUCUUGAAACCAACUUUUUAAAGAUUACAUUCUGGUCCUUGUAUUGUAAAAAUGAUUAGAAAAAUUAUUAUUCGUUAGAAAAAUGAACAAAAAUGAUCAAUUUCGUAAUAGUUGAAAAAGAUGUUAAUUUUAUGAGAUUGAUCUAAUAAAAUGAUGUAGUAUUGAUUUCAAAAUAUAAUGUUGCAUUUUUAAGUGACAAGACAUGUUCAUUCGGUUCAUUAUAACUUAAAAAAUUCGAGUUGUUACAUCCUAAGCAACCCAAUUUCAUACUCCAUCCCCAGUUAAAUGCAAUAUUUCAAGUUUUUGAAGAUACAAUAGAUUAGGUGAACAUGCCACAUCACUUAAAAAUUUUCACAUCAUAAAUUAAACUAAUGCCACAUCAUUUAAUUAAGUUAAUCUUAUAAUAUUAACAAAUUUUUUCAAAAUGCAAUCCAUGUAUGGUCAUUUUACCCAACUUUAAAGGUAUAUUGUUAAUUUCUUAAACUCCUUAAAGUCUCAAGAAGCAAAAUUAUUUUAUGGAUUAAGCUCAUUAUAGGUACUGAUCAUAUUUAUUAUUUUUGACACAAUGUUUAGAACUAUCCAUAGUUUCUCCCUAACCCAUAAAUAGGAGGAUAAUGUGCUUCAGCAUACUCGAACCUACAUCCUUCUGCAUUAACAACAAUGCUCAUGUUAACUGAGCUAAGAUUUAAUCAGCUGGGUUAAGAUUAAUUGGAUGUAUAAAGUUGUUGCAAUGGGGGAUUUUCAAAAGGUAAUUUUGUUUAGAAAUGUAAAAUUUUAAGGGUAAAUUGUUUAAUUAGGGAUGUAGCUUUCAACUUGGAAUAUUCAAGAAUGACAUUCCAACAACCUUAUCCUAUAACCCAUUUUAUUAAGUUGCUUCUUUUACCUUAUCUCUUUGAUUUUUUAAAUUGGUUUAGGUGAAUGAAAAAAAAAGGGGUUUGAAACUAAUGCCAAGAGAAUGAAUUACACAAUAGGAAGUCCCUAUGGCUGUUGUGAUGUUGAAAUUAGGGUUUCAAUUUUAUUCCUACCCUUUUGAAAUCAAAGGUAUUUUGAGAAAAUAUUUUUGUUUUAUUUUAUUUCUUAUGACGUUGGAAAAUUGACUGUGAAAUUAAACAAUCAUUGAUUUGUGUAGAAAUUAUGUGAGAUUUUGCGAAAAUGACAUCAACUAAAAUUUAAUAAACGUGGACACGUGUCACUAGCUAAACAUUUUAAAAAUUAUUUACUUUGAUAAAUAUUAAAAUUAAUAAAAAUUACACUUACAUAUUUUUAAGAGAAAAAAAAUUAAAAUUAUUUGAUAUAUUGGUGCUGUAGUUUUAUUUUUUGAAAUCAAAGUAGAAUUUUAUUAUAUACUGAUUUAUAAUUUCAUUAUUUAUAAGAGAAUAAAUUGUAAAUUUUUUAUUCGAGGGGCAAAGUUAAAAUAAUAAAAGUAAUGGCGUAAUUACACUUUUAAUCUAUUUUAAAAGUAACAAUUCAAUAUAAAUCUUUUUAGCUUUGGCGAAAAAGUGCAUUUCAGACCCUUAAAAAAUACAAAGUUUAUUUUUAGUCCAUUUUUUAAAAAAUUUAGCUCAAUCCCUAACAUAAAAUUCGUUAAUUCUUCUUUUAUAUGAUAAUUUCUUAAAUCCCAUAGCACUAAACUUUAAAUUAAAGGGAAAUUAAAAAAUUAAGUAAAUAUUUAUUACAAAAAAUUAUAAAAUAAAAAAUAAAACCCAUUUCUUAAAAAAAUUAUAACCCAACUCAAAGUCCGAUUAGAAAAGUCUCUCUUAUAUACAUUUCUAAAGACCCUUUUUAAGGGAGAACGACACUCCAAACACUCAGACACUUCACUUUAUGAGAUCUUCUUCUUCAUCAAAACACCCUUUCUUUCCCCUAUAAUUGAAAAGCAAAAUCUAAAUUGUCAAUGAUCGAAAACGUGCAAAAGCAAAAUUGCCAACGGAAAAAAAGACAGACAUGAAUGACAUUUUUUCUCCAUAAUUUCACAACACCAGCUGGGGGGGGGGAUUGUUAAGAGGCACAACAUUGAAUAAUCAUGAAGCAAAUUUGACCAAUCAAAUGUAUUAAUUAGGGUUAAUAUCUGGUAGACAGCUAGUAGUGCUGAAUCACACGAAAGAAUGAUAAUGAUACAUAUCAACUUGUUUUUUUUUUUAAUUUAUUUUUUCGAUUAAUUAAAAAUAAAAUUAUUUAUAUUUAUUUCUAAUGUAAUAUAUUAUAUCGGUCCAAACGGAUAUAAAAAAAUAAUUAUUUUAAAAGGCAGGUUAGAUAAGACAAGUUGGACAAUCUCUCGAAUAAAAAAAUGGUAUGCACAGAGUUUUUAUUUACUUAUUUAUUUUGUCUUGGGAGCAUUAAUGAUGGAAAUUUUUUGGUUUAAUUCUAAAUUUCAUCUUUAUAUUUUAUGAAAAUUAGAAAGUUAGUCCCUCUGUUUUUAGAAUUCGGUCUUUGUAUUUCACAGAAAUCGAGAAAUUAGUUCAGUUGUUGGUAAGCGUGUGAAUUUUAAUUGCUGAAUUUGCUAAUUUAUUGCAUGUAAAUUGUUGAACUAUUGAUUUUCGCUAAGAAUUCCAUCAUUAUAUUUUAUGAGAAAUUAGUUCAGUUGUUAGUAGACACUAGAGGUGUUCAUGGGCCGGGCGGCCCGGCCCGAUAUCCGCCCGAAAUAUGAGAGGGUUUGGGUAAAAAUAUAGGCUCGAAAUAUGGCUUGAGCAAAAAAAUGAGGCCCGAUUAGAAAAUGGGCCGGGCCUCGGGCACCACUUUUUUUGCCCGGCCCGAAUAUAAUAAAUAUAUUUAUUUUUAUUUUUAAAAUUUUAAAACACUUUUAAAAUACUUUUUAAAUUUUUUAAUUUUAAAAUAUUUUUAAAAUAUUUUAAUUUUAAAAUAUUUUUAAAAUACUUUUUUUAAAAAAUUUUUAAUUUUUAAAAUAAAAUUUUGGUAUUUAUUUAAAAAAACGGGCCGGGCAGGGCCGGGCUCGGGCUUAUGAAUUUUUUGCCCGGGCCGGGCCUGGGUAAAAUUUUAGGCCCAUAUUUUGGGCCGGGCCAAAAUUUUUUUGGACUAGGCCCGUACCCGGCCCGACCCGGCCCAUGAGCACCUCUAGUAGACACAUGAACUAUAAUUGCUGAAUUUUGUUAAUUUCUCGCAUACAAAUUGUUGAAUUGUUGAUUUCUGCUAAUGUUUAGCAUAUAACUUACUAAAUUCAUGAUUUUCAGGUCAGCGAUUUAAUGAUAAGGUUUAACAAUAUUACUCAAUUAGAUCAAGUUCUCAGCUUUCGUAAGGUAUGAGGAGUAAAUUGUAACAAAUUAAACCAAAGGACUAACAUUUUAGUUUUUAUAAAGAAAAGGGAUGAAUAUCAAAAUUAGACCAUUUAUCAUAACAAUAUCUUGACCUAAUAACUAUUAUUAAUUUCGUCGGUAAUUGUGGGGAAAAAGGAUUUUAUUAUCAUGUGUCGAAGAUUCGUUAGUAUUCCUUAAUUAACAAUACGUGCAUAUAUAGUGACGAAAAGUCCAUGAAAUUGCGUUGCUUACUAUAUGCUCUUCCCCAACGGUCCAAUUUCUCUUGGAACAAAUUUUUUUCCCCUAAGAUCUUGAUUUUUUAGUAGUUAUAUUGAAUUUCGAUUAUUUUGACUAGAAUUAAGUCGUAUUGGAUAUUGAAAUGGACAACGCUGAAGGAUAGGUAGAAGCCUUGGCCACCUAAAAUGGUAAAAAUUUAUAAAUUAUAAAUUAAUUCAAUGGAGCGGUGUGAGGGCAAAUAGUGCUAGAUUUACCACCACUCCACAGUUGGCACACUCUUUUCCAACACCCAUUCCGCUCCACUAUAUAUGGAUGCAUAAUUUUGAAAACCACUACCACCUCCAUGAAUGUAUAUGUUGGAUACAUCCAUCCCCGUCCCACCUCACCUCACUCCGCUUCAAUUUAAACUUUGCUACUUAUAUUUAAUGUUUUCAAUAUUUUCAAAGUCAAGUAAAUAUUUCAUCAUAAUUCUUCAAAAAAAUAUUUAAAUGUAAAAUAUAUGGAUUUUUUCUAUAUUAUAUUAUUACAUUUUUACCAUUUUAAUAGUUUAUAUAUACAAGGAUAUAAUGGUGAUUUCAUAUAGCAGAGUUGGUUGGGGUGGGGCAAGCAAUUACCAUAAUCACUUCAUACCCACUAUUUAGAAGAAAAAAAUCCAUCCCGCCCUACUUUGCAUCCUCUUUUCAAACGGAUCGGUUCAGAAUACAUCAGGCGGUUCAGGUUUUGUCAUCCCUAUUAGCUGAGUUAUUAAUUAAAGGCUUUACCAAUACAAUUGGUUUGGGUUCGAAUGUCACCAUAUGUAUAUAUUUAUUGAUUUUUUAAAAAUAUAAAAGACUAAACUACCAAUGAAUAAUAUAACUUAUUUUAAUUACGGAAGAACAUUUUUAUAAUUUAAUAACUGAAUUAGUGACCCAAUUAAAAACGACGUCAGUCCAAUAAAGCACUUAAAUAAAAAGUAUGAAAAAUAUAUCUUGACUCAUUUUAAAGUUUAUAAUUAAACGUUAAUCCCCCUAAAGAGAUUGAGACAUUAACCUCCUUAUAAUUCGCCUCACAGGUGUUCAUAUUUAUGCCUAACACUUUGGUUGGACUGUCUUUUUCAUUAGUUUCGCCUUUGGCCUUUUGGUUGGUGGCUAUAUAUAUAUAUAUAUAUAUAUAAAGUUCUUGAAGCUUAAUUUUCAAGUAAGAAUAUGUGCAUACGUUAUCUGUGUCUGUACUUGCCUAGCAUCCCAAUAUUUAAAACGACACUAUUCCUUUCCUUCUAAGGUCGAGGAAACAAAAAGAGAAAAUCAAAAAUAUUUUUGGGUAAACUACAUUUAAGGUCACUAAAUCAUUAGUAAGCUUACGUUUUAGUCACUCAAUUUCAGAAGGUUAAUGGUUAUUAAACUAUUCGAAAGAUUUCAUUUAAGUCAUUGAUUGUUAAUAUUUUUUAAUUGUCCAGCUAGCAGCUCCAAGCGAUAAAUUGACAAUUGGUACAGUGGAUCAAUACCCAUUGACAAGUAGAAAAAUAUAUCUUAGGGCUUAGAUCAAUACCCAUUGAUGAGUAGAAAAUAAUUUUUUGGGCAAACUACAUUUAAGGUUACUAAAUUAUUAGUAAGUUUACGUUUUAGUCACUCAACUUCAAAAGGUUACAAAAUGGUUACUGAACUAUUCGGAAGUUUUCAUUUAAGUCAUUGAAUCGUUAAGUUUUUUUUAAUUGUUCGGCUAGCAGUUCCAAAUGAAAAAUUGACGAUUGGUACGAUAGAUUAAUACCAAUUGACGAGUAGAAAAACAUACCUUAGGGUUUAGAUCCAAGCCGGUCUGACGAUUAGUGUCAGAGAUCAAAGAAAAAAAACUGUUUGGAUUUUGAUUCGCAAAUUCAUGAGUUUCAAAACUAUUUCAUGAAAAAAAUUUGAAUUGUAGAAGAGAAGGGGAAUGUGUGUAGGCGGUGCGAACAGGGAGGCCAGACAACAACAAUUUUAACAACCCAAUGACUAAAUGAAAACUUUUGAAUAGUUCAAUGAUUAUUUUAUAACUUAAAUAGGAGGAUAAUGCGCUUCAAUGCACUCGAACCCACGUCCUCUUGCACUGGCAACAAUAUUAAAGCCAAUCAAACUAAGACUCAAUCAAUUUAUUUAUAAUUACUUUUUGAAACAUAAUCUUUUUAUAAUUAAUAUUAGCUUAAAAUACAAGUCAACACAAAUUUUUUUUUUUUUUCAUAUUAAAAAGGCUUUGGACUUGAUAAAGGGACCCUUCAACAGCAAGAUUUAAGGCAGAAAUUAUUAGAUAUAUCUUGUCUUUGUGCAUCAAGAACUACAAUUUUUGACAAUAAUUUUAAAUUAUAACCCUACAUGCUGAAAAAAGAAAUUAUUCCAAAAUUAAAUGAUUUUUAAUAAAACUUGUAUCAAUAAUCUAAAUUUGUUUUGUUAUUUUCUUAAAAAUGAUAUGUUCUUAAUUAUUUUGCUUGGUCUCUUGGUUAACCAAGUAAUUUUUUAAUUAAUUUAGUACAAAAUGGUUCACGAGUCAAGUUGAAAAAAAGUCAUAUUUAGGGUUCAGUCCAUUUCUUAAAUAGAUUUUUUUUUCGACAUAAUAACUUUAUGGUUAAAUUCUAGAAGGCCCCUUUACUAUGCAUUUUAGUGGAUUUAGUCCCUUCACUACAAUUUAAGGAACUCAAAUGCAAUUUUACUAUUAUAUUAAAAGAACUAAUAUUUUUUUUCUUUAUAUUUUUUGGAGGGGUUAUUGAUUACAAGAACAUGGGUAGUCUUUAGAAAGGAUUUGAUUUAAUUUAAUUUUUAAUUUUUAAUUUAAAUAAUGUAGAAGAUACCCUUAGACUAUAUGUUUAUUUUAAUUUUGAUUUUUGUGUAAUUUUUUAAUAAACUUGUAUGAUUUAAUUUGUAAUAUUAAAUUGUGGAUUAAGUCUUAACUCGAUUGAUAUGAGCAUUAUUGUCAAUACAAGAGGAUGUGGGUUCGAGUGCGUUGAAGCGCAUUAUCCUCUUAUUUAUGUUUAUAAAAUUAUGUUAUGUUUUGGAUCGAAUUUUGGGGUUUAGAUUAAUUAAAUUAAAAAUUAAUUGAACUUGUCUCUUGUGAACAGCACUCCGCCAAUGACUAUUUCUAGUAUAUAUAGUCCCACCAUUGCAUGCAAGCUUUAACUCAAUACACACCACCAGAAUCAAAAAAAUAAAGUUGCCUCUCCCUUUUUAUUUUUCUCUUUCAAGUAAAGGGAACUUUGAGAAAAAUCUAGACACAUUGGCUGCCGGUGGUGAUCUUUGGUAGUCAUCCAUGAUUUGCAGAAAAUUCAUAUUUAGGGUUCAGUCCAUUUCUUAAGUAGAUUUUCUUUUCGAGAUAAUAACUUUAUGGUUAAAUUCUAUAGAAGGCCCCUUUACUAUGCAUUUUCAGUGGAUUUAGUCCCCUCACUACAAUUUGAGGAACUAAAAUUCAAUUUUACUAUUAUAUUAAAAGAAUUAAUAUUUUUUUCUUUAUAUUUUUUGGAGGGGGUAUGGCCACUAUGUGCCCCCUUCCGUCCACCCCUACUAAAUUGUCCAGAAACUUCUUCAAACCUCAAAUUAACUAUAUAUUAUUUAAAUUAAAAUUAAGUAUGGAAUAUAAUUAGGUUGUUUGAUAAAUAAUAUAUAAUUGUUAAGCCAUGUUUUUCUCGUAUCCCCUGGAGAGGAAUGUUAGGGGCAUUUAUACAUGCUCCUAUCGUUACUAUUGCAACUCAUAACUGGGCCCACCAUUUUGUCUCGUCCCUGGGGCUUCCGGUACUGAUAUUCCCUGCUUCUGGUGUUGACAUUCUCUGCACGUCCUUUGGCUUGCUAGAUGCCUGUCUGCAUAGCACGUGGUCCGUUCUGAUCCUGGGGUUGACAUCCUCACGAGCUUCGUACCGUUGGUCACGAGUUUAGAGUACUUGUAGGCUCACAAUCCUUCCUACGAGGUGUGCCCGCGAACUCUUCCUGUGAGCUAUCUUGGCGAAUAUGCCUCUCCCGAGUCGGGUCUAUCUAGGUCAAGGGUCGGAGACCCGAAUCCUUUUAAUACAUUUGGGUUGGCGGUUACAAAUAUAUAACAAUAAUAAUUUUUAUUCUAUAUCUUAUCAGUAAAUUUUAAACAUUUUAUAUGAUUCUAAAAAGAAUCAAAUUUUAAGCAUAAUUUUUUAUUGGAUAAUACAACGUUAAAAUAAAUAAAAUAAAAUUGAAUCAAUUGAAAAUAUUCUUCAUUAAGUGAUAAGUAACUUUUAUUUAUUUAUAAUUUUUCACAUUUUUUUAAUAAAAAAAUUCAUUCAAGUUAUUUUUAUCUUGAGUUAUCAAAUAUACGUCUAAAAAACCCAUUGAAAAUAUUAAUUGUCAAUUGAUUUAAUUUUUUUCAACGGUUUAUCGAAAAGGUCUAAAUUAAAAGAUAUUACGUAAUUAAACACAUAACUUUCAAGUUGCUACGAUAGUAACGAUACCAAUUAAAUUAAGACUUAGUUAACCAUAUUUUCAAACAUCGAAAAUGGGUUUUUGUUUGGAAAUAUAACUCUGAUCUUAACAAUUUUUUAUUGUUAUUAAUUUUUAAUAUAAUCACAAUUAGUGUCGGUAAUUAAACAAAGAUGAAAAUUAAGUACUAAACGAAUCCUCACAUUGCACAUUGCACAUUGCAAUUAAUAAUAUCAUAAGAAGGGACAAAUAGCAGACAAUGAAUCAAACAACUACCCUUACAUUUUAUACAUUUAAUUCUUGUUUUUUAGCAACGGUUAACUAUUUUAUUACGGACCGUAAGGUGACUCAUAUAUAUAAAGCCAAUUAACAAGUGAAAAUUGGAUCCACCGUCAUUAAUGAAAAUGGUUAAUUUGUGGAUAUACGGAAAAAAAUUAUUUUAUGGAUUCUUCCCACCACAUCAUUCAUGAUCUCUUUUCAAUUAUUUAAUGAUAUUUUAGUAAUUUUUUUCAUGUCAUUAACACAUAAUUUUGACAAUUUUUUUUAUCUCAAACCCGAACUUAAACCUUGAAGGUUCAAGGUUUAGGGUUCGGGUUCGGGGUUUAGUGUAAAAAAAGUACCAAAAUUAUGUGUCAAUGACAUGAAAAAAAUUACUGAAAUGUCAUUGAAUGAUUGGAAAAGAACCAUGAAUGAUGUGGUGGGAAGGGUCCAUAAAAUAAUUUCUCGUGCACAGGGGGUUAUAUAAAUAAUAAUUUGAUUUUAAUUUCCAGAUAAAUAAAUACUUUAAAAUGAUUUGAGAUUCUAUAUUUGAGUCUCAUUUUAUAUAAAUUUAGUGGGGUUUUUAAUCAUUAUUUAUUUUUGUUUAAGUCUCGUUAUGUGUGUCAUAUUCAUAUUUUUUUUUCAUCUAAAUUUAGAUGUAUUUCGAUUAUUAGUUUAAUUGUGCUUUUGUAACAUUGAUUUUGGUUAGAAUUACUCAAAUUGUAUUAUAUUUGUAAUCGCAAUUGUGACCAUAUUUAUAAUUGUACGCGCAAUUUAAAAAAUUUGAUAAAAGUACGGUUAAAUUAAAGAUUGAUACGUAGAUCAAUUCAAGCACCGAAUUAAGUUAAUUGAUUAGUUAUUUAAAAAUUUGUAUUAUGAAGCAGCUUACAAGUAGCAGUGAAGUUAGAUUUUUUUUUUUGAGGGGAAGAAAAGUAAUAUUAAAUUAUAUAUUUUUAUGAGAACUAAAAUGUAAUUUAACUAUUUUAAUAGCUUAUAUCUUUAUACUUUUUUAAAUAAUUAAAUUAAAAUUUAAUCAAUUUUAGGGUAAAAUAUAAUUAUACUAACAUAAAAUUUUAUUAAUUUUAAAAGGUCAAAAGUAUUAAUUUUUAAAAAAUGACCGAAAGGAAAAUUAUUUCAUUUAAUCAAAGGGAACUAAGACCUAGACCUGUCCAUGGGACGGAUGGCCCGGCCCGACCCGACGGCCCGCCCAAAAUAUGGGAGGGUUCGGGUAAAAAUAUAGGCCCGAAAUAUGGGCUUGGGCAAAAAAAUGAAGCCCGUUUAAUAAUGGGCCGGGCUCGGGCUCAACUUUUUUGGCCCGGGCCGAAUAUAAUAAAUAUUUAUUUUUUAUUUUUUAAUUUUAAAAUACUUUAAAAAUAUUUUUUAUUUUUUUAUUUUUAAAAUAUUUUUUUGUGUUUAUUAAAAACUGGGCCGGGCCGGGCCGGGCUCGGGCUUAUUAUUUUUUCCCUGGCCGAGCCUGGGCAAAAUUUCAGGCCCAUAUUUCCCGGCUCGGCCCAUGGACAGGUCUACUAAGACCCUUCCUACCUCACUUGGCUUCAUCAUUGGAUAAGACUCAAACUUAUAUACUAAAUUUGGAGACCUACUUCAACAAGAUUGGAUGAUACAAUUAAUACAUGUGUUCAAAGCGGGCAACAUGAUAGCAGAUGGAUUGACAAAGAUGACGUUCUCAAAACUGUUGGGUAAAAAUAUAUUCAAACAAUCCCUAGAUAAAAUCCUUCAAGUACUGCAUGAUGAUUUUCCUAACAUAAUGUAAUAUACUAUAAGAUUACCUUACUUUAAUCUUUCUUUGUAAAAAAAAAAAAUUAGAGACCUCAAUCAUUGUUGAAGUUACCAAAGCCUCUUUAGCAAUUAUUUAAAAUUUUUAAAUAUUUACACUUAUUAUUACUAAAAUUGGCAUCCAAGCUGUAAUGAAAGUGAAAAUUUUUAUUAAAAAUUAAUGAAAGAGAAAGCUGUUUUUGGUUAUUGAUUAAAAAAAAUUUAAGUCUUCGUUUAAUUAUUUAUGAAGUUUGAAAUACUUAACACUUAUUUGUACGAAAGAUGGCAUCCAAGAUGUGACGAAAGUGAAGAAAAAAUUAUUAAGAAUAUAUGAAAGAGAACGUUAUUUUUGUGGUUAUUGAUUACAAGAACAUGGGUAGUCUUUAGAAAGGGUUUGAUUUAAUUUAAUUUUUAAUUUAAAUAAUGUAGAAGAUACCCUUAGACUAUAUGUUUAUUUUAAUUUUGAUUUUUGUGUAAUUUUUUAAUAAAUUUAUAUGAUUUAAUUUGCAAUAUUAAAUUGUGGAUUGAGUCUUAACUCGAUUGAUAUGAGUAUUAUUGUCAAUACAAGAGGAAAUGCGUUCGAGUGCGCUGAAGCGUAUUAUCCUUUUAUUUAUGAGUUGGGGAGGAGUUAUGUAUAUAUUUUUACAAUUAAAUUUAAAUAGAAUUAUAGGUAAAAAGACUUCUUUCGCCCCUUUCAAUUUUGCUCAUUUUCUAUAUUAUCGAAGAUUAAGUUGUUCUAAUUUUUUUGAGAGGGAUUGGAUAGGUAUUUUUUACCAAAAUUUUAUAAUAAUGUGAUCUAUACUAACUCAAAUUGCUAAAAUCAUUAGAAAAUGAAAAAAAAAAUCGAUAAUCAUAUUGAAUUCUGAUUAAAUUCAAAGUCAAAUCAGAUCAAACCAAACUUUUCUAAUAUUAUUUUUUUAUUCGUAAAACUCGAACUCAAAACUUAUCCUAUUAGUCCACUCACAACCAUAAAAUUUUUAACUUAAUUUGCAAAAAAAAAAAAAAUUAAUGAAAAUAAAUAAACAAUGUGAAGCGACGAAGCGAAAUGAGAGAAAAUAUGAAUGAAAUAUAUAAAUCGAAUAUCAAUGCCAUGCAUGUGACAAAUCGUGGGGUCAAUGUUAAUUUGAUUUGAUGCUGAUUUAGUGAUCUAUUAGGACCCAAUUGCAUCACAUCAAUUAAGUUUUUUUUUCUUCUUAAUUAUGGUUUUAAAUAUCUAAUUAAAAUAAUUAAUCUCAUUAGGAAGCAAUAAACCAAGGGAUACUGUCGCACUAUUUUCCAAUUUUAGGGUUUAAAAAUGGGUCUUUGCCUUUUUCAAAAUAUCUCAAGUUAGACAUUUAUGAUAAAUUUUAUCUUUACUUUUAUUGGUACAUGAUAUAAAUAUUUAACUUUGUUUUUUAUAUACUAAAAAUAAAUUCUUUUUUGAACUUACAAAAAAUAUGGUCUAAUUUGAUUUUCAUCCCUCUAUUUUAUAAAAGCUAAGAAGUUAGUUCUUCUGCUUUAAUUUGUCAAAAUUUGAUCUUUAUAAUUGGAUAAUGUUUUUAAACCCGUUUUUGUUAAAUUGCUAACUUAAAAAUUGGCAAUUCAACAAUUUAUAUGCAAUAAAUUAGUAGUUUAAGUUCAUGUGUUUACAAACAAUUACCUACACUAACUUCUCAAUUUUUGUAGGGUACGAUGACCAAAUUUUGAUAAAUUAAACUAAAUAGACUAAAUUUUCAAUUUUAGUAAAGUAGAGAGAUGGAGAUUUUUAAAUUUAUUUUUAUUUUCUUGUUUUCGUUUACGAAAUUAAAAAUUCUAUUAAUAUAAGCAAAAUAAAUUCAUUGAAACAAUUCCAAAAAGGACUAAAAGUUGUUACCUCCCAUGCAUCUAUCUGCAAAGAUACACUAAAGAAAAUUUUAACCUAAUUUUAUGGAAAAUUCCAACCCCAUCAAAGACUAAAAACAGUUUAUCGUCUAAUCCAACAAUUGUUUUUAAAAUUUUUUAAAGGUAGGGAUCGAUUAAAAAUCAAAUUCAGAAUUGAUGUCAUUUGGAUAGGAGGUGCAUUUACUUUCGAUAAAGUUAAAAACAAUGGUAACAGUGAGAUUAGUUAAGGUAAAAGAUUCCACUACACCAUACGUACAACGAAUUCAAAGGAAGCCUUAAUCAGAAAAAGCAACAAUUAAUUAUAUCGAAGAAAUUGCUUUAAAAAAGUUAAAAUAUUACAUAAAUUAUAGAGUUAAACAUGACUAAUCUAGAGAUAAAUAAUGCAACAAAGUUAGCCAAAUCAGAUACUUAAAUAGAAAUUUUAGUUACUAAAAUUUAAUGCUAAAUUGAAAGUGGUCCUUGUGAUGACUUCAACUUCAAUAUUUUACUAAAUAUAAUAUAAACUUUCCCUUUAUUGUGCCUCUUAGUUACUCAUAUAAUUCCCACAUUAUUAGCAUUGAAAAUGACAUUUUCACUACCAUCUUCUUUUAUCUUCUCCCCCCCCCCUUUAUUCACAUAAAAAAUAUAUAUUACUAAAAAAUAAUUUAUUUUUUUAACAAAAAUAUAAUUUAUAUUAAAUGUGGAAUGAGAAAUUCUUGGGUCAGAAUUAAAUUGUAUGAUUUUAUAAGGGUUCAAAUAUAAUUUCACUAUUUUAAUAGUUUAAAUCAUUAUAUUUUUGAAAGGAGGUUAAAGUGCAAUUUUACCAUUUAUUAAUUUAAAACUUCAUAAAUUUUAAAGGGUGGAAAUUUAAAAUUUUAAUUUUAAGAGAGGUCGGGUACCUGUCUAGGGGUGAAGCCAAAAAUCUUUUUCAAGGGAGUCGAAAUUAAAUUGUAAUUUUUGCGAUUUAAAUGCAAUUUCACAAUUUUAAUAUCCUAUAUAUUUAUAAUUUUAAAAAGAUUAAAUUAAAUUUUUAUCAUUUUUAGGGGGCCAACGUACAAUUUUACUUUUAUUAAUUUAAAAUUUUAAAAAUCUUAAAAAGUCUAAAUAUAAAAUUUUCAUUUUAGGGUGCCCUAAACCCCUACCAGCCCCCUAGAGUCGCCCCUGUACCUUUCAACCCUCUACUUUCAUUUCUAUUGUUGUAUCUAUUUUACAAUUUAUAUUUAAGUAGUGUUUACAAUUUAUUUUUGAGAUUUGUGGCUCAACAUACAAUUUUAAAUGUUUAUUAUAUUCAAAUCCACCUUUUAACACACUCCAAAUUGGACUUUUCAAUGGUUUUUACUUACACGCCAUUGACUAUAUAAGAGGAUAUAUAUAUAUAUACACAUACAUAUAUAUAUUAAUCUCUUAGGAUAUGAGAAAAAAAUAUUUUAGUUUUUUCUUUGGGUAUAAAAAAUGGCAUGAAGACAAGAAAAAUUAUCAAUGAUGCAGAUUAAGAAAGUUGUUUUAAGGGGUUAAAAAAUAAUCAUAAAUUGUUAGGAGAGUUAAAAAAUAAUUUUAUCAUCAUAUUAACAUGUAAUUUCAUAAAAUUUAAGAGGUUAAAUGAUAAAUCUAUCAUUUUCGAGGGCUAAAGUCACUACUUGCCCCCUUGAGUUUUGAAAUUUACGAGCAUUAAUUAAAUUGGAUGGUUUUUUUUUGAACAAUCUCAUUAUAGGUUCUGAUCAUAUCUUCUUUUUUUGACACAAUGCGAAGAACUACUCAUAGCUGCUCUCCAAUCCAUAAAUAAGAGGAUAAUGUACUUCAGCACACUCAAAUUCACGUCUUGAUCGGUAAUUGAGUGUUUUUUUUAAUAAUAAGGGAUUUAAUUUAUGGAUGAUGAGAUGGGAUUGAUCAAGAUUUAUACCUAGUUACUAACUACAUUAUUUAUUAAUAGAAAAGUAGGCUUUAAUUACUCUUAACAGAUCAUUAAUUGUACAAUUGUUUUUUCGUAUAAAGAAAGACUUGAGAUUAAAAAUAGUAAUAACAAUUGGAAUUUAAACUCUUAAUUUAUUGAAUUUUAUCUUAUAAAAACAUAUGUAAGAACUAAAUGAAAUAAAUUAUUAUUUAAAUUUAUUAUAAUAUAUCCAAGACAGCUAAUUUUGUGUAACAACUACAUUGUUUGAGAGUAUCUUGCAAAGUUGACUUUCUUGACAUUGAAGCUUGCAUGUUUCAUUUUCUAUAGAAUUAUUUAUAAAAUAAUUAUAAAAUUUAAAGAAAAACCAGUGUUUUAGUAAAUAUAUGGGGACUAGAGCGAAUUUUAUCUAAAUCGAUCUCGACCCAACCUUGAAAAUUUUAAUAGAAAAAUCAUCACACCCUGCUUCAAAAACCGUCCAAAAAAGAACCCUUAUAUGAUAGGAACGAAUCAAAACUUGUUGAGUUCGAGAUUUUCUUUUGCCACCUCUAGUUUGUAUAAUGUAAUAUUUUAUUUUAUAUUUUACUAAUUUCUACUGCAUUAGCAUGGACUAAGAGCAUGGAGAAAUCAAAUACAGGUGGUCUUCCCAGACAAACUAUAGCCACUCUUAACCAUUGGAUGCCUUUGGAGAAGGGUUGGGUCAAAUUAAAUACAAAUGGUAUUGUUUCGGAUAAUAGUAAUGGCACGUCAAUAGAAGGAGUUUUUAGAGAUUCAUCCCUAAAUUGUUUACAUGACUUCAGAAUGAGAAUUAGGAAGAAGAGAAUUUUUAAAGUUGUAAUAGGAUGACAGAGUUGCGACUAAUUGACCAACUCCUAAAACGUAAUUAGAGUGUGCGAGUUUAGUAUAUCCCUAAAGACUACAACAAAGUUGCUACUUACGAAUUUCACUAAUUUAUAAUCGUCAUUGAUUGGCAGUCCUUUGUAUCGGAAAAAAAUUUAUAUGUUAUGUGACAAUAAUCAAAUCUAAAACCCCAAAAACAUUAAAUGGGAUUGAAGAAAUAAAUUUAGCGGAAUUUUAGGAGAAUGGGGACAUGUCUGGUCAUGUUGUAAGAAACUUGAAAUUAUGAUACCUUGCACGAAAAUGGAAUUCAAUACAAUUAUUUUUCACUUUUCUUUUUCCAUUUUAAUUUUCAGUUGUAAUUAAAAUCUCCAGCAAAAGCUGAUCUGCCACUUGAUUGAAUUUCACAUGCCAUUACCUCAUAAUUGAGAUAUCACAUGGAUUUUCAGCAAAAAGAAAUAUUAAAAAAUAAAUAAUUUUUAAUCAAAAUUAAAGUCAUUGAGUUAGUAGUGGUGGGUAUAUAUGUACAUAUAUGAACGUGCUUUUGUUUUUCAUAAACGUGCAUUGUUUUAAAAAAGUAUUUAAUUAUUAUACUUGGUCAAAAGUUUUGAUAAAUAAAUAACAUUACAACUUGACAAGGAAUAAUCUAUGUUUUUUUAAAGUAAUUACCACAUAAUUUUUACUGGAAAAGAUUGUAUUAAACAGUGACGUCACGUCGUCUGUAUUUUUUUUUCCAAUAAUUUGAUGUCAUAUCAAUAUUUUCAUUCUGAAAAAAUUAAACGAAAAUGAAAAUCUAGAAAUUCAAGAUAAAAUUGCUGAUGUGGUAUUAAAUUAUUAAAAAUGAAUAAUAUUACCGUUUCAUACAACUCUCGAUAUAAUUAUGAUAUUAAUACACGAAUUACCAGGUAUAAUUGAUGUUAGUCAGGAAGUUUGUAGUAUUAGUCACAUGUUGAAAAAUGACAAAUUAUUAGAAUCAAUUAAGUUAUUAAUUUUCGAUGUGAUAAUUUUCUUCCUGAGAUAACAUUCAUCUUUUUAAGAUGAAUCGUUGGGUGAAAAUGAACAGAUAGGAUGAAAAGGGAAAGAAUGUAGCACGAAAUUUCUUUCUACCAAAUUCAUAGCAAAAAUAAAUAAAUGAAAGCAGAAGUGGAAGCAGCCUCUUCUUUUGUUUUAUUUAUCUAUUUUUUCUAAGUUGUUGGAAAGAAAUUUGAAUUAUUUUUGUCCCUAACUGCUCCUGAAAAGAUGCUUGAAAAAUGGGGGAUUAAUUUUACAGAUAUUUAUUUACUAAAAAUGUUUAUAAAAUUAUGUUAUGUUUUGGAUCGAAUUUCGGGGUUUAGAUUAAUUAAAUUAAAAAUUAAUUGAACUUGUCUCUUGUGAACAGCACUCCGUCAAUGACUAUUUCUAGUAUAUAUAGUCCCACCAUUGCAUGCAAGCUUUAACUCAAUACACACCACCAGAAUCAAAAAAAUUAAAGUUGCCUCUCCCUUUUUAUUUUUCUCUUUCAAAAUCUAGGCACAUUGGCUGCCGGUGGUGUUCUUUGGUAGGCAUCGAUGAUGGUUCCGCGGGGUAACCCGGCGAGGGGCCGGUUUUGGCCCCAAAUGUUAAUGGCUAUGGCUGUUGCUGUAGUUGUUCUUGCGAGCAAUGUAGGUUCAGUGUCUGCUGAUGCAUAUAUUUAUGCAUCACCUCCUCCGCCUUAUGAGUAUAAGUCACCACCACCGCCUUCUCCUUCUCCACCACCGCCUUAUGUGUAUAAAUCUCCACCACCACCACCUAAACAUGAGGAGAAGCCUUAUGAAUACAAGUCUCCACCACCACCACCACCAAAGGAGAAGCCUUAUGAGUACAAGUCUCCACCCCCACCAUCACCUUCUCCUCCACCUCCUUAUGAGUACAAAUCUCCACCACCUCCAUCACCUUCUCCACCACCUCCUUAUGUGUAUAAGUCUCCACCACCUCCACCAAAGCAUGAGGAGAAGCCUUAUGAAUACAAGUCUCCACCACCACCACCGAAGGAGAAGCCUUAUGAAUACAAGUCUCCACCACCACCACCGAAAGAGAAGCCUUAUGAAUACAAGUCUCCACCACCUCCAUCACCUUCUCCACCACCUCCUUAUGUGUAUAAGUCUCCACCACCUCCACCAAAGCAUGAGGAGAAGCCUUAUGAAUACAAGUCUCCACCACCACCACCGAAGGAGAAGCCUUAUGAAUACAAGUCUCCACCACCACCACCGAAAGAGAAGCCUUAUGAAUACAAGUCUCCACCACCUCCAUCACCUUCUCCACCACCUCCUUAUGUGUAUAAGUCUCCUCCACCUCCACCAAAGCAUGAGGAGAAGCCUUAUGAAUACAAGUCUCCACCACCACCACCGAAGGAGAAGCCUUAUGAAUACAAGUCUCCACCACCUCCAUCUCCAUCACCACCUCCACCAUACUACUAUAAAUCUCCACCACCUCCAUCACCAUCACCACCACCUCCAUACUACUACAAGUCCCCACCACCACCACCAAAGCAUGAAGAACAACCACCAUAUUACUACAAGUCACCUCCUCCUCCAUCUCCAUCACCACCUCCUCCAUACUACUACAAGUCCCCACCACCUCCUUCACCAUCACCACCACCUCCAUACUACUACAAGUCUCCACCACCACCAAAACACGUAGAGCAACCCCCAUACUACUACAAGUCUCCUCCACCUCCAUCACCCUCACCACCACCACCUUACUACUAUAAAUCUCCACCACCACCUUCACCAUCUCCACCACCUCCUUACUACUACAAGUCCCCACCACCUCCAUCUCCAUCACCACCUCCUCCAUACUACUACAAAUCUCCACCACCACCACCAAAGCAUGAAGAACAACCCCCAUACUACUACAAGUCUCCACCACCACCUUCACCAUCUCCUCCACCACCUUACUACUACAAAUCUCCACCACCACCCCCACAUUACGUCUCACCACCAUACUACUACAAAUCUCCACCACCACCAGUGAAGUCUCCUCCCUACUACUACCAUUCUCCUCCACCACCAACUCCUUACUACCCCCACCCCCACCCACAUCCGCUCAUAGUCAGGGUGGUCGGAAAAGUUUACUGCUACAGAUGCUAUGACUCAAGCUACCCAGAGAAAUCACAUGGCAAGAAACAUCUCGAAGGUAAAUUAAUUCAUACAUUAAUGCAUUUAUUAAUUGAUUUAUUUUCAAUUUCGUAUGUUUUAUUUAUUUCUUAGUUUCAAAUUUUUGUGGAACUUUGUCAUGUGAUUUAGAGGUUAAAAUAAGAUGUUUAUGAAUAUUUUAAUUCAAAUAGACGUAAACAUAAUAAUUAAAGGAAUCUGAAGUUAUUCUUCUGGAAAUUUUUAAAAAAAUAUUUAAAAGAUUAUAAAAAUAAACAAAGCCUGUUUUUGUUUCUUAUAUGUUUGAAAAUAAAUUAUGACUGUAUUGUCUGUCUAUGUAAUAUUUUUAUAUAAUUUAAUAUUCAAUUCAUAAUAAUUUAAUGAUAAAAACUAUUGUUAUAAAUUACUCUAAAAUUAUAGCUUUCCUUAUUAAGGGCUGCACCAUAUAUGGAUGCACAAGUCAACAUAAGUAGUGAACACAUAAGUCAUGUCUAUGGAAAAACUGUUUUUUUUUAUUAAAUUAAUUCAUGGAAAGACAAAAUUAGUUAUAAAAUAGUUGAUGUCUAAAUAGAAAAAAGAUAUUUUGAUUGACUUUUUAGCAAAAAAGAAACUAAAUUUUCAAUUAUUGCACAUGGAGCAGGUGCUACUGUGGAAGUGACUUGCAAGGAGGGUGAAAAGGAAAUCACUGUCUAUGGAAAGACCAAAAACAACGGCAAAUUUGCUGUCACUGUUGAUGGGUUUGAUUAUGGCAAAUACGGAGCCAAGGCAUGCAUUGCCAAGCUUCAUGCCCCACCCAAGGAUUCAUCAUGCAACAUACCCAUGAGUGUACAUGAUGGCAUCAAGGGUGCUGUGCUCAAGGUCAAGUCAGAGGACAAGUAUGAGGUUGUGCUAAGAGCUAAGCCAUUUGGUUAUGGUUCAAAGAAACCUUACAAGAAGUGUGAAAAGUACACUCCUAAGCCUCCGACUCAUCCGUACAAGCCACCACCGUACUACUAUAAGUCUCCACCUCCACCGGCUCCCACUUACGUUUACAAGUCACCACCUCCACCAUCACCAACUUAUGUUUACAAGUCACCUCCACCUCCUGUGUACUACUACAAGUCUCCACCACCACCAAAGCAUGUGGAACAACCCCCAUACUACUAUAAGUCUCCACCUCCACCGGCUCCCACUUAUGUUUACAAGUCACCACCUCCACCAUCGCCGACUUAUGUUUACAAGUCACCUCCACCACCUGUGUACUACUACAAAUCACCACCUCCUCCCACUUAUGUCUACAAGUCUCCACCACCACCAAAGCAUGUAGAGCAGCCCCCGUACUACUACAAAUCUCCUCCACCACCAUCGCCAUCUCCUCCUCCACCAUACUAUUACAAGUCCCCACCACCACCAGUUCACUCUCCACCACCACCAUACUACUACAAGUCCCCACCACCACCAAAACAUGUGGAGCAACCUCCAUACUACUACAAAUCUCCUCCUCCACCAUCGCCAUCUCCUCCACCACCAUACUACUACAAAUCCCCACCACCACCAAAACAUGUAGAAGAGCCCCCAUACUACUACAAAUCUCCUCCACCACCAUCACCAUCUCCUCCUCCACNNNNNNNNNNNNNNNNNNNNNNNNNNNNNNNNNNNNNNNNNNNNNNNNNNNNNNNNNNNNNNNNNNNNNNNNNNNNNNNNNNNNNNNNNNNNNNNNNNNNGAGCAACCUCCAUACUACUACAAAUCUCCUCCUCCACCAUCGCCAUCUCCUCCACCACCAUACUACUACAAAUCCCCACCACCACCAAAACAUGUAGAAGAGCCCCCAUACUACUACAAAUCUCCUCCACCACCAUCACCAUCUCCUCCUCCACCAUACUACUACAAGUCCCCACCACCGCCAAAACAUGUGGAGCAACCUCCAUACUACUACAAAUCACCCCCACCACCAUCGCCAUCUCCUCCUCCACCAUACUACUACAAGUCCCCACCACCACCGAAGCAUGUAGAGGAGCCCCCAUACUACUACAAGUCUCCCCCACCACCAUCGCCAUCUCCUCCUCCACCAUACUAUUACAAAUCUCCUCCACCACCAUCACCAUCUCCUCCUCCACCAUACUACUACAAGUCCCCACCACCACCGAAACAUGUAGAGGAGCCCCCAUACAUCUACAAAUCUCCUCCACCACCAUCGCCAUCUCUUCCUCCACCAUACUACUACAAGUCCCCACCACCACCGAAGCAUGUAGAGGAGCCCCCAUACUACUACAAGUCUCCCCCACCACCAUCGCCAUCUCCUCCUCCACCAUACUAUUNNNNNNNNNNNNNNNNNNNNNNNNNNNNNNNNNNNNNNNNNNNNNNNNNNNNNNNNNNNNNNNNNNNNNNNNNNNNNNNNNNNNNNNNNNNNNNNNNNNNCGCCAUCUCCUCCUCCACCAUACUACUACAAGUCCCCACCACCACCGAAACAUGUAGAGGAGCCCCCAUACAUCUACAAAUCUCCUCCACCACCAUCGCCAUCUCCUCCACCACCAUACUAUUACAAGUCCCCACCACCACUAGUCCAUUCCCCACCACCACCAUACUACUACAAGUCUCCACCACCACCAGUCCACUCCCCACCCCCACCAUACUAUUACAAGUCUCCACCACCACCUUCUCCUUCACCACCUCCACCAUACUAUUACAAGUCCCCACCACCACCAAAACACGUAGAGGAGCCCCCAUACAUUUACAAAUCUCCUCCACCACCAUCACCAUCUCCUCCUCCACCAUAUUAUUACAAGUCCCCACCACCACCAGUCCACUCUCCACCACCACCAUACUAUUACAAAUCCCCUCCUCCGCCAUCGCCAUCUCCUCCUCCACCAUACUACUACAAAUCCCCACCACCACCAGUCCACUCUCCACCCCCACCAUACUACUACAAAUCCCCACCACCACCAGUUCACUCUCCACCCCCACCAUACUACUACAAAUCCCCACCACCACCAUCUCCUUCACCACCUCCACCAUACUACUACAAAUCACCCCCACCUCCAGUGAAGGCUCCAGCACCUACCUACCAUUACAACUCCCCUC
rnacentral:lncRNA from 1 species